ACACCAGUGAUGCCCGUAGUAAUGGCGAAUGAAAUGGGCACAGCUCAGCACUUAACUGCCGAUUGUAUAUGGUCGUGCAGGAUGUAGUGUUUGGGAGGAUCGCGUCACUUGCUGUGGGUGAGUUUAAGUUCAUCUUGACUGGGGCCAUUGUCCAUAGAGGGUGAUAGGCCCGUUAAGCCACCUGUUGCUUGUGCUGGUCGUUCCCUAGAGUCGAGUUGCUUGGGAGUGCAGCUCAAAGAGCGUGGUAGACUCCACGUAAAGCUAAAUAUUACCCUAAGACCGAUAGCGAACAAGUACCGUGAGGGAAAGUUGAAAAGAACUUUGAAGAGAGAGUUCAACAGUACGUGAAACUGUGUAGUGGUAAACGGAGGGGGUUUCUCGAAGUUUGCACUGGUGACUCAAGCUGUAGUUUUUUGGCCUGGCCUGUAUCUCUGCUGGUGAUCCAUGAGUUUCUACCUCGCAAGGGGGACGAAUGGCUUGUUGGACACGUGGAGGAGGUCGAGUGCUAACUAUUGCUGCAUUUCUCCGGUGUGUUACGCAAUGAAUGGCUAGCUGCGUACUUGAGGGCCUGGAGUUUUAAGUUUAUCUCGUCUUCCAUUGCUUUGUCGGUGGUGGUGGGCUAAGUCUUUGUCAAGGAGCUGCGUGGCUGGCUGGCUUUGAUGUGAGUGUGUUGUGGUCUCGUUAUAGCGAGCAAAUUUGUUGUUGUUGCGGACUACAUUUUCAAUUGCGAGUAGGUCGGUGUCCCCUCCGACCCGUCUUGAAACACGGACCAAGGAGUCUAACACGUGUGCAAGUCAUUGAGUGUUCUAAACUCAAAGGCGUAGUGAAAGCAAAGUGCCUUCUUUUUGGGGCAUGAGGGGUGACUUGUGUAUGCAAGGCAGCCCUGGCGCUUCAAAUUGACCUCGUUUUUUCAUUUGGAGCAGCAAGAGCAGACGCGUUGGGACCCGAAAGAUGGUGAACUAUGCCUGGCCAGGUUGAAGUCAGGGGAAACCCUGAUGGAGGACCGUAGCGAUUCUGACGUGCAAAUCGAUCGUCGGAGCUGGGUAUAGGGGCGAAAGACUAAUCGAACCAUCUAG
rnacentral:rRNA from 1 species